GGUUUCUUAGUGUAGUGGUUAUCACGUGUCCUUCACACGGACAAGGUCGCGAGUUCGAACCUCGCAGAAACCA